GACGAACGCUGGCGGCGUGCUUAACACAUGCAAGUCGAACGGAGUGGGAACGGGUGAGUAACACGUGGGUGAACUCCCUGCACUUCGGGAUAAGCCUGGGAAACUGGGUCUAAACCGGAUAGCUGGGCUCGCGGCCUAUCGGCUUGGUGGUGGGGGAAUGGCCUACCAAGGCGGCGACGGGUAGCCGGCCUGAGAGGGUGGACGGCCACAUUGGGACUGGUACACGGCCCAUAAUCCUACGGUAGGCAGCAGUGGGGAAACUUCGGCAAUGGGGGGAAGCCUGACCGUGCAACGCCGCGGGAGUGAAGAAGGGUUUCGGAUCGUAAAGCGCUGUUGUUAAGGAAGCGGUACUUAACCAGAAAGGGACGGCUAACUACGUGCCAGCAGCCGCGGUAAUAC
rnacentral:rRNA from 1 species